rnacentral:rRNA from 1 species
GACGAACGCUGGCGGCGUGCUUAACACAUGCAAGUCGAGCGGUAAGGCCCUUUCGGGGGUACACGAGCGGCGAACGGGUGAGUAACACGUGGGUGACCUGCCUCUAGCUCUGGGAUAAGCCCGGGAAACUGGGUCUAAUACUGGAUAUGACUCCAUGACGCAUGUUGUGGGGUGGAAAGCCUUGUGCGGCUAGAGAUGGGGCCCGCGGCCUAUCAGCUUGUUGGGGGGGU